rnacentral:rRNA from 1 species
UACGUAGGGUGCAAGCGUUGUCCGGAAUUAUUGGGCGUAAAGAGCUCGUAGGCGGUCUGUCGCGUCUGCUGUGAAAUCUCAGGGCUUAACCCUGAGCUUGCAGUGGGUACGGGCAGACUAGAGUGCGGUAGGGGAGACUGGAAUUCCUGGUGUAGCGGUGAAAUGCGCAGAUAUCAGGAGGAACACCGAUGGCGAAGGCAGGUCUCUGGGCAUUAACUGACGCUGAGGAGCGAAAGCAUGGGGAGCGAACAGG